rnacentral:rRNA from 1 species
GUGUCAGCAGCCGCGGUAAUACGGAGGGGGCUAGCGUUGUUCGGAAUUACUGGGCGUAAAGCGUACGUAGGCGGCUUUGUAAGUUAGAGGUGAAAGCCCGGGGCUCAACCCCGGAAUUGCCUUUAAGACUGCAUCGCUUGAAUCGCGGAGAGGUGAGUGGAAUUCCGAGUGUAGAGGUGAAAUUCGUAGAUAUUCGGAAGAACACCAGUGGCGAAGGCGGCUCACUGGACGCGUAUUGACGCUGAGGUACGAAAGCGUGGGGAGCAAACAGGAUUAGAAACCCGAGUAGUCC